UACGUAGGGUGCGAGCGUUGCCCGGAUUUAUUGGGCGUAAAGGGCGCGUAGGCGGCCACGCACGUCCGUUGUGAAAUCGCCCGGCUCAACUGGGCGGGGUCAGCGGAUACGGUGUGGCUCGAGCAAGCUAGGGGGCAAUGGAAUUCCCGGUGUAGUGGUGGAAUGCGUAGAUAUCGGGAGGAACACCAGUGGCGAAGGCGGUUGCCUGGAGCUUUGCUGACGCUGAGACGCGAAAAGCGUGGGGAGCGAACAGG
rnacentral:rRNA from 1 species